rnacentral:rRNA from 1 species
GACGAACGCUGGCGGCGUGCUUAACACAUGCAAGUUGAACGAAGUGGCGAACGGGGGAGUAAUACGUGGGUAACAUGCCCUCCUUUUUGGGAUAAGCAUUGGAAACGGGGUCUAAUACCGAAUAAAGGGGGCUGGGACCGCGGCCUAUCAGCUUGUAGGGGGGGGGAGGGCCUACACAGGCGGUGACGGGUAGCCGGCCCGAGAGGGUGACCGGCCACAUCGGGACGUAGCGUCGGCCAGGACGACGACGGGUGGCAGCAGUGGGGGGUAUUGCAACAUGGGCGAAAGCCUGAUGCAGCGACGCCGCGGGGGGGAUGAAUGCUUGCGGGUUGUAAACCUCUUUCGCUAUCGAACGGGUAUGUGGAGAAGAGGAGCCGGCUAACUACGUGCCAGCAGCCGCGGUAAUUC